CAGUGGGAGUCAAACCCACCAGAACAAAAGUCAGAGUUCUGUAGCUGGGAUAGCCGGGAGGGAAGGAAACUGAACUCCGGAAAUCUAUCGACAAAGCCAUCUUUGGGAUGGCGAGCGAGUCAUCGGGCCGUAACGAAA
rfam:Acidobacteria bacterium 13_2_20CM_56_17 13_2_20cm_scaffold_125715, whole genome shotgun sequence.